rnacentral:lncRNA from 1 species
GUACCGAGUGACUGAGGGCACUAAGAAGGAUGGCGCUGAAACAUUGUAUUCCUUCAAGUAUCAAAUCAAGGAGGGCAACUGCUCUGUUCAGAGUGGCCUCACCUGGCAGGACUGUGACUUCAAGGACGCUGAGGAAGCUGCUACUGGCGAAUGCACAACAACUUUGGGGAAGAAAGAAAAUAAAUUCUCCGUAGCCACCCAGAUCUGCAAUAUUACUCCAGGUGGUGGCUGGCAUGAAUUAUAAAAUUAUCUACU